rnacentral:rRNA from 1 species
UCUGAACCAGCCAAGUAGCGUGCAGGAUGACGGCCCUAUGGGUUGUAACUGCUUUUAUAGGGGGAUCCAGUGUGCCUUGUGUGGCAUAUGCAGGUACCCUAUGAAUAAGGUCCGGCUAAUUCCGUGCCAGCAGCCGCGGUAAUACGGAGGUAAGGGCGUUAUCCGGAUUUAUUGGGUUUAAAGGGAGCGUAGGCCGUUUGGUAAGCGUAAUGUGAAA